AGCUUUGCGCAGUGGCAGUAUCGUAACCAAUGAGGUUAAUCCAAGGUGCGAUUUUUGCUAACUGAAAAAUGAAUUUAGCAAGAUAACAUGAGUUUAAUACAAAAACUUAAAAUCCUGGUGAGAUACCACUUCACACUCAGUUGUAU
ensembl:snRNA U4 U4 spliceosomal RNA